UAAACGGUUCUUGUGAGAACCAUUGUAAAUAAAAUGUAAUAAACUGU
rfam:Camponotus floridanus CamFlo_1.0_3.contig2786, whole genome shotgun sequence.